rnacentral:rRNA from 1 species
AGUGAACGCUGGCGGUAGGCCUAACACAUGCAAGUCGAACGGCAGCACAGUAAGAGCUUGCUCUUACGGGUGGCGAGUGGCGGACGGGUGAGGAAUACAUCGGAAUCUACUUUUUCGUGGGGGAUAACGUAGGGAAACUUACGCUAAUACCGCAUACGACCUACGGGUGAAAGCAGGGGAUCUUCGGACCUUGCGCGAUUGAAUGAGCCGAUGUCGGAUUAGCUAGUUGGCGGGGUAAAGGCCCACCAAGGCGACGAUCCGUAGCUGGUCUGAGAGGAUGAUCGGUCACUCUCUAACUCCGACGCGGUCCAACCUCCUACGGGAGGCAGCAGUUGGGACUAUUGGCCAAUGGGCCCAAACGUUACCCAGCCGCACCGGCCGCGAGUAGGAGCCCUCCGGCUUGUAACGCCUUUGUUUUGGGCAAGAAAAGCUUCAGGUUUAUACCGAGCUGUUAUGACGGUACCCAAACUAUACGCACCGGCUAACUUCGUG